UACGGGGGGGGCAAGCGUUGUUCGGAAUUACUGGGCGUAAAGCGUGCGCAGGCGGCUUCUCAAGUCAGGGGUGAAAGCCCAGAGCUCAACUCUGGAAUUGCCUUUGAGACUGAGUGGCUUGAGUACGGGAGAGGUGAGUGGAAUUCCCAGUGUAGAGGUGAAAUUCGUAGAUAUUGGGAAGAACACCGGUGGCGAAGGCGGCUCACUGGCCCGUAACUGACGCUCAUGCACGACAGCGUGGGGAUCAAACAGG
rnacentral:rRNA from 1 species